CACAAGAAGAAGAUAAGAUGUUUUCAAUUCCUGUACGUGGCCGAAAACUGUACAACUUCCUCAUGCAUAUGAAGGCUGUAUACUACUACAACCAUCCAGAAUAUGCUGCAAAAUGCCCUGAUGAUGAUAUUAACAGUUCAACAAUAGAGAUGUGUGGAGAAAAACCGAAGGAAAGAUGCGAUGACAAAUGCAACAUAGAGGAGGUUAAGAUGAACUCCUGGGACUCUGAUGGGUAUUCUCCGCACCGCCUUGUAUACGAUGAUACUCACAGUGAUUCAUUAUCAUCUGCAUCAGCCGAACUUCAUAGCCAGUCCUCGAGUAAAUUCGACAUUGUUAAUUUACCCUUGGAUUUAUCUAAGCAUGGGCCAGUAGUGCAAGUAUCAUCAAAAGUUUUUCAAUGACACAAAAAACUCAAAGAAACUGGAGAGUUAGGUAGUUUGAGGUUAUGGUCAGACUCCACCUUAGUUCAGAAGGUUCAGUCACCGCACGAGAGAGCAGAAACAUUGACUAGUAAUGUCUCACCACAUGAGACACCAGAAACAUCGACUAGUAAUGUCUCACUGCACAAGAGACCAGAAGCAUUGACUAGUGAUGUCUUACCACAUGACAGUCUAAAAAUGUUGGCUGCUAAUGUCUUGGCGAAAGGAUUUGCAAAAGAAAAAUAGUGAAUUUAAAGUGAUACAAAGUUAGCUCAAUGUGCAUUGGACAUUGAUAAUAUUUUGUGUGGUAAAGGAGUGUCUCCCAACUUGUGGACAAGUUUUGUUUUAACUUAUAAAUUGUUUACAUGGAAAAUAGUAUUAGUGGCUGUAAAAGUUUAAUUGAUGCCUUAUUGUGUUAUUUGUAAGUCGUGAAGUGUGUAACUUGUGAAGUGAAAGUGAGUAAGUUAGGGAGGGAAGAGAAUGCCUAUUGUACUCCUCCAAGACAGCAGCUCAUAGUUGUAUUAUGCUCAGUGUGCCAAGAAAUAUGGUAAUGAUAUAGCUCAGAGCUUGGGCUAAAUUAUGCAUUAAUUGGACUAAGUUAUAUGUAAUGAUACACAUAGCUCAAAGCUUGGACUAAGUUAUAUGUAAUGAUACAUAUGGUUCAGAGCUUGAUACAUUGCUCUUAAAGUUGAAGGAAAAAAACAAACUAAAAACAUAAAAGACUGUUGAUACUCCAUAUGGACAAAGUAUCUUGCUAAAGUUUUGUGGUUAAGUGAUGUUGUUUAUACUUUGCUACAGUAUGUUAAAAAUAUAUAUUUUUAUAUACAGUAUUAUGUAUAAUGAAAGGAUAUUCUGUUACAGAUAUUUUCUAUGAGUAUAUUUAGUAUAUGGCAUUUUUUAUGAUUUAUGAGAAAAGUUUAUUUUGAUAAUGAUCACCUUCACAUUGUGAGGGAAAUAGAGUCCAUGCAUUGUGCUUACUAGAAUAUUUUGUAUAUCAGUGGCACUGUAUUCCAACAGUUUUGCUAAUAAGACAAAAUGAUAUUGUGUGUGUGUUUCCAUCAAUAGGCCUAUUUAUUUUAAACCUUUGCUUUGAAAGCAAAUGUGGAAUCUGGCAAUGUGUCAAAACACAGAGAUCAAAAAUUUUUGUGUUAAUCUCCAGGGUUUGUUAGCUGGACCUCAGCAAUGAGAGCGGCUACUCUCACCGCUGGCAACGGCGACCACUGCACUAGAUUUAGAGAAAUCUAUGCAUUUAAGCCUAUAAAAGAAAAUGUGAUUCAUUUGAUGAAAGAAAAGUUAAAAAAUUAUGCUAUAGUGGGCCAUUAUAUCGAGGUUGGCGGCUCCUUUGUUCGUAUGCUUAUGCAAAUGUGUGUUUUAUGAAUAUAUAUUUAUUAUCAACAAAUUUUGUUGAAAAUAAGAAAAAGUUUUGGAGUGAGAUUAACAAGUUAAGAAAGCCUAGAGAACAAAUGGAUUUGUCAGUUAAAAAUAGGAGAGGAGAGUUAUUAAAUGGAGAGUUAGAGGUAUUGGGAAGAUGGAGGGAAUAUUUUGAGGAAUUGUUAAAUGUUGAUGAAGAUAGGGAAGCUGUGAUUUCGUGUAUAGGGCAAGGAGGAAUAACAUCUUGUAGGAGUGAGGAAGAGCCAGUUGUGAGUGUAGGGGAAGUUCGUGAGGCAGUAGGUAAAAUGAAAGGGGGUAAGGCAGCCGGGAUUGAUGGGAUAAAGAUAGAAAUGUUAAAAGCAGGUGGGGAUAUAGUUUUGGAGUGGUUGGUGCAAUUAUUUAAUAAAUGUAUGGAAGAGGGUAAGGUACCUAGGGAUUGGCAGAGAGCAUGCAUAGUUCCUUUGUAUAAAGGCAAAGGGGAUAAAAGAGAGUGCAAAAAUUAUAGGGGGAUAAGUCUGUUGAGUGUACCUGGUAAAGUGUAUGGUAGAGUUAUAAUUGAAAGAAUUAAGAGUAAGACGGAGAAUAGGAUAGCAGAUGAACAAGGAGGCUUUAGGAAAGGUAGGGGGUGUGUGGACCAGGUGUUUACAGUGAAACAUAUAAGUGAACAGUAUUUAGAUAAGGCUAAAGAGGUCUUUGUGGCAUUUAUGGAUUUGGAAAAGGCGUAUGACAGGGUGGAUAGGGGGGCAAUGUGGCAGAUGUUGCAAGUGUAUGGUGUAGGAGGUAAGUUACUGAAAGCAGUGAAGAGUUUUUACGAGGAUAGUGAGGCUCAAGUUAGAGUAUGUAGGAAAGAGGGAAAUUUUUUCCCAGUUGGUUGAGGGUCCACUGUAUAUAUGUGAAAAACGGUGGCUCGUAAGACGUAUGUAUACGACCGAAAUAGACAAAGGGAUAAUACUUAUGGGUGUUUGGAACGGAUUAAUUCUAUUUCCAUUAUUUCUUAUGGGGUAAAUUAAUUCGACUAACGGCUAGCUCUCUGGAACAGAUUAAUGCUGUUGGUCGAGGGUCCACUGUAUUAAUUGUACUAACUGGACAGAGGAGAGCAGAAGAGGAGAAGAGAAGAGGAAGGCACAUGAAAGCAGCAGUGAAAUCUUUGGCCCCUAUGCAUGACAUUUCUCCUAAACCUUAGAGUAUAAAAUGCAGUACUAACAGUAUAAAAAGUAAAGUAAAAAAUGAAAUACAAAAAUAUUAAAAUAAAAUCAUUACAAUAACUGUGACGCUGAUAUACAGUAGUAAAAUAUUUAGUAAAAAGUAACAUACGAUACUACGUAGCUAAUAAAGAGUCGGAGAACCAAUCAGGAACCUUCUAGGAAGAAGUGCUGACACAAGCAAGAUAGAGCAGCCGACAAAAUGUUCUAUUCUUACACUAAUAUCAAUAAAAAGGCUUAUUUACCUAUCACAAUUGAUCUAUUAUGACAUAAGGCGAAAUAUCAACAGCACAGAAUAAAUAUUAUCUAGUACAGUGGAACCUCAAAUUUCGAAUUUAAUCCAUUGCAGGAGCUAGUUCUAAAUUCGAAAAGUCUGAAAUUCGAAGCAAUAUUUCCCCUAAGAAAUAAUGGAAAUACAAUUAAUCCGUUCCAGAAACCCAAAAAUAUUCACAAAAAUAAUACAUUUUAUAGAGAUUAAUUACAGUUUUACAUACACACAACAAAUGCUAUAGUCUUUAAUUAUGUAUAGUAAUAUAAAAUAACAUUUUUACUUACCUUUAUUGAAGAUUGGUGAUGGCAUCUGGAAGAUAGGGAGGAGGAGAGAGGGAGUUGGGGUUAGUGUUUGGAAGGAGAAUCCCCCUCCAUGAGGACUUCCGGUAUCAAAGCCCUCUCUGGGGUUGCUUCCAUUCUCUGUAUUGUAAUGCCACUAGGACCAGCUUGAGAGUCAUUGGACCCCAGUCUCACAAAAUAACUGUCUACAGUCCUCUGUUUCUGUCUCACAAAAUAACUAUCUACAGUCAUCUGUUUCUGUCUCACAAAAUAACUGUCCACAAUCGUCUGUUUGUCUCACAAAAUAACUCCACAGUCGUCUGUUUCUGUCUCACAAAAUAACUGUCCACAAUCGUCUGUUUGUCUCACAAAAUAACUCCACAGUCGUCUGUUUCUGACUCACAAAAUAACUCCACAGUCAUCUGCUUCUGUUUCUGUCUCACAAAAUAACUGUCCACAGUUGUCUGUUUCUGACUCACAAAAUAACUCCACAGUCAUCUGCUUCUGUUUCUGUCUCACAAAAUAACUGUCCACAGUUGUCUGUUUCUGUCUCACAAAAUAACUGUCCACAAUCGUCUGUUUGUCUCACAAAAUAACUGUCCACAAUCGUCUGUUUCUGUCUCACAAAAUAACUGUCCACAAUCGUCUGUUUGUCUCACAAAAUAACUCCACAAUCGUCUGUUUCUGUCUCACAAAAUAACUCCACAGGCAUCUGUUCUGUCUCACAAAAUAACUGUCCACAAUUGUCUGUCUCAAAUAACUCCACAGUCGUCUGUUUCUGUCUCACAAAAUAACUCCACAGUCGUCUGUUUCUGUCUCACAAAAUAACUGUCCACAAUCGUCUGUUUCUGUCUCACAAAAUAACUCCACAGUCGUCUGUUUCUGUCUCACAAAAUAACUGUCCACAAUCGUCUGUUUCUGUCUCACAAAAUAACUGUCCACAGUCGUCUGUUUCUGUCUCACAAAAUAACUGUCCACAGUCGUCUGUACAUCCUGGCAAGCUCAACAAGUCUCACUCCAAUCUCAUACUUCUGUAUUAUUUCCUUCUUCACAUAUAUGGUGUUUCUCACUUUUUUUACCACAGGGGUACCGCUAGCAAGUUUCUUUGGGCCCAUGGCAACUUAUUUCACAGUCCCACAAGCACUAAACACAAUUAAAUAAUCAUAAAAUGUGUGAAUGAGAUUGCAGGUUAGUGUUCACUCAAGCAUAAACAAAGCUAGACUGCUCACGGCGCCUGCGCGGGGACGCGGACAGAGCAGGCCAGUGGACAGGUCCCGUACCCGGCGGUCAGAAAAUAGGGGUGCGUUCGAUAAUAGGGACACAGUUUGUCCGAAAAAUGUUCUUAUUUUCGAAACGUUCGAUAUGUGAUACGUUUGAUGUUUGAGGUUCCACUGUAUAAUAUGAAGGCCUGCUGUGCAGAUAGGGACUUUGUAGACACCACAGACCAUAAGGCAUAUUAUUUCUUCUUUCAUCACUCUUAUGUGAGAAAAUGGAUCUAGCAUGAGGGUAAACUGUAAUCGACACUCAUAGCUUACGAAAACACUGAAAAAAAGGGGUUUUUUAGGGAAAAAAAAAUAUUUCCUGAGUACUUGGGUGUGUGCAUGCUUUUGGCUAUUAUCUCGGAAGUAAGUUAUUCACCUAUUUUGUGAAAACCAAUCAGCAAUAAUGAAUGGAUUGAAGUAAUUUCCACAACAAACAUUAGGAUUUAAUUUUUGAAGUAUCCCUAUUGUCAAUUUUCUAAGGCUUGACUUACAUCCAUUUUGACUUACGACCAGUUGGUUGGAACAAAGCUUGGUUAUAAGUAGGAUGGUAGGUGUAUUCAAUUAAAGAGAGAAAUAAAAAAGGGAAUAAGAAAAGCUAAAAGAGAUUAUGAGGCUAAAGUGGCAAGGGAUUCGAAGACUAACUGAAAAGGUUUCUUUCAGGUAUAUAAAAGUAAGAUUAGUAACUCAGGUCGGAUCACUGACAGUGAUAAGGAAAACUGUGAAUUUUUUAACUACUAUUUCCUCUCAGCUUUUACGCAGGAAGAUACGUACUAGCAAAAUUCCAGAAAAAAAUAAAUUACAGCAGACCGUCAUUUAGCCCGAUUCGGGUCUAGCACGACUGAAGAAUUGCGGCACAAUUUUACGCAACACGUAAAAUAAAGUUAACACUGUUGCGCGAGGGGAAAAAUUUUUGAGUGAGCGGUCACCCGCGGUGGGUUACACCACAAGGUCUCAACACCGCCAUCCCCCCACCACCCUCAGCCACCCUGCCAGCCUUCAGUUAGGUUCAUACUCGUGUACGACGACAAUACUCAGGAAGUUCGCUGUGUUUAUUUAUAUACAUUGUACAUAUUUUCAUUGCCAUUUGUUAAAUCUGUCAAGCAAUCAUGGCACCCAGUAUGCAUACAAGUGUUGCUGAUAAUGACAAGUCUAGGAAUUAUGAAGAAAAUCAAGAUAUUAGAUGAGCUUAAGAGUGGCUCAUGUGUCGCGGAUAAAGUGACUGCCUGCUGCCUUAAUAAAGCAUCAGUUGUACAAUUAAGAGGAACGAGGCAAAUAUACGAGCUUGACAGACUUACUGAAUGACUCGACUGACUUACUGACUUGACUGACUGACUGACUGACUUGCUUGACUGACUUAUUGAAUGACUUGACUUAUUGACUUGACUGAAUGACUUACUGACUUGAUUGAAUGAGUUACUGACUUGACUGACUGACUUACUUGAUUGAUUUACUAACUUGACUGAAGACUUACUGAUUUGAAUGACUGACUGACUUUACUGACUUACUUGACUGAAUGGCUGACUUGACUGACUGAAUGAUUUGACUGACUUACUGAAAGACUUGAUUGAUUUACUAACUUGACUGAAUAACUUACUGACUGAAUGACUUACUGACAUGACUUACUGACUUGAUUGAAUGACUUACUGACUUGAGUGAAUAAGUUAUUGACUUGACUGACUUACUGAAUGACUUUAGACAUUUUCACUGAAGAGGACCCUGAAACAGUGUCUAGAGCAGCUGAUGUCUUACCGUCAGUUGUAUAAUGUACCAUAGGAUAAAAUAGAACAGAAAAUCAUUACAGAAUUUAUGCACGCUUCAGUACAAUCAUCGACUUCAGUACCAGAAUCUCUACCAUCCACCUCAGCCCAGUAGGGCCACAACAUAAUUCUCCUCUGUCUUCACAAUCAUCCACAAACACCAACACCCACAAUUUAAGGUAAGAAAUACUAUAAUUUCUUUUGCAUUUGUAAUCUUAAGCAGUAAAAACAACAUAAUACAUCACAAUAAUGAACAACAAUUACAUAUUCACUUUUAUUUUUGUAUGAUCUGUUGGUCUAAAAAAAAGUUGUUUGGCUUUUAGGGGGCUCCCAGGAUUGUAACCCUAUUUUUCCCAUAAGUUAUUCAGUUCAUCUAACACAAUUUUACCCAACACAGCAUUUCCAGGAACGUCACUACCACGUUAACCCUUUCAGGUUCGGUAAAAAUUCGAAAAAAAAAAAAAAAAAAAAUUCUUAUGAAAAGAUAGUGCUUUUCUUUCUGAAUUU